rnacentral:ncRNA from 15 species
UUAAAAAAUUUGGAGGUGAGCGACCUUUAACCAUUUGCUUUUGAGGCAGGGUAGGGAACAUCCGCGUAAAUCGGGGACGGGCCCGCCGCUGUGACUGGGGACGAACAUGGUGAGGCUGUGCCUUUUAAGGCAGCGGGAGAUGAGUUCAGGUGGAUACCGGUCGCGCCUGGCGGAAAGCUCAUCCCCUCGGCUUUAAGCCACUGGCGGUUCAACUGCUGGGAAGGUGCCGUAAUUAGGUUAAUCCAGAAGUCAGAAGACCUUCCUGCCUCGUGCGCGGGCUG